rnacentral:rRNA from 1 species
AUGAAACGAGUCAGUAUUUCUAAACUUGCAACAAUAUUGUCUUCCCAUGCCACAAAUAACGGCGCAAAAGAUUUGCAUAUAAAAAAAAGUAUAACAACACAAUGCUCACACUCACACGCAACAAUAUACCAUGGAAAGUCUGUGCAAAUGAGCUUAAUGAAGCCUGGAAAGAUAACCCAUUGUUACGGAUUUAGAGCAAAUAUAUGUUUCUUAGAGAUUUGUUUUUUUUAUAGGGGUCUUAGAAACUUGGUACUAGUUUUUUUUAGACAAAGAAGAAGAAACUCCAAGCUAAGGCGUCCAAUGGGCCCGGAAACCAUCCCAACCGGGCUAACACGUACUGACGGCCUGGCCCAAAGCGACGCAGCCCUAGCACCACACUCCCUGCGCCGCCGCUCAUUAUAA